GAGGUUUAUGUCAGUCCAAUUUCUUCAAGAACACUACGUGGGGUUUCCGCUUCCUGUGGAGGGAAAAUUUGACACGCUGGCAAUGACCCCCUUAAAACUGCUGCAGUAUAACUAAGGAAACUGCCGGAUGCUUUUAUUUACCACUCAGUUGAAAAAUAAAAGAACCCCUUCUAGUCUGGGAAGAAAGGCAUUGAAUUGUACCCAGGUCAGGAGGGCUACAGACUAGCAGCCCAGAGGCAGCAGGUGAUCCGGGCCGGCUCCACACAGAUGAAGACUUUGGGCAAAGAAUAACGGUUUUAAUUCUACUUUACCGGAUGAUCGUGACAGCAGCCCACCACACGGGAGUUAUCUGCAUUUUCCAGGAGGAGGAAAAUGAGGUGCCCGGUGGAGAAACAUCAUUUCCAAGUCAGUGCCACAAUGCCAGGUAAAUCCGGGUAAAGUUCGGGAAAGGAUCCAGUCCAUAUUCCUGGAUACCGGCGCUACUUAUU